rnacentral:rRNA from 1 species
UACGGGGGGGGCAAGCGUUGUUCGGAAUUACUGGGCGUAAAGGGCUCGUAGGCGGCCAACUAAGUCGGACGUGAAAUCCCUCGGCUUAACCGGGGAACUGCGUCCGAUACUGGAUGGCUUGAGUUCGGGAGAGGGAUGCGGAAUUCCGCGUGUAGCAGUGAAAUGCGUAGAUAUCGGGAGGAACACCUGUGGCGAAAGCGGCUCACUGGACCACAACUGACGCUGAUGCGCGAAAGCUAGGGGAGCAAACAGG